GAAUUCGCCCUUAGAGUUUGAUCCUGGCUCAGGACGAACGCUGGCGGCGUGCUUAACACAUGCAAGUCGAACGAAGCUUGAUGAUUGAUUUCUUCGGAAAGAAAUUUGAUAUGACUGAGUGGCGGACGGGUGAGUAACGCGUGAGCAACCUGCCCUUCAGAGGGGGAUAGCGUCUGGAAACGGACGGUAAUACCGCAUAACGUACAAAGGCCGCAUGACCAUUGUACCAAAACUGAGGUGCUGAAGGAUGGGCUCGCGUUGGAUUAGAUAGUUGGUGGGGUAACGGCCUACCAAGUCGACGAUCCAUAGCCGGACUGAGAGGUUGAACGGCCACAUUGGGACUGAGACACGGCCCAGACUCCUACGGGAGGCAGCAGUGGGGAAUAUUGCACAAUGGGGGAAACCCUGAUGCAGCAACGCCGCGUGAAGGAAGACGGUUUUCGGAUUGUAAACUUCUGUUCUUAGUGAAGAUAGUGACGGUAGCUAAGGAGCAAGCCACGGCUAACUACGUGCCAGCAGCCGCGGUAAUACGUAGGUGGCAAGCGUUGUCCGGAAUUACUGGGUGUAAAGGGAGCGCAGGCGGGGAGCCAAGUCAGCUGUGAAAACUACAGGCUUAACUUGUAGACUGCAGUUGAAACUGGUUUUCUUGAGUGAAGUAGAGGUUGGCGGAAUUCCGAGUGUAGCGGUGAAAUGCGUAGAUAUUCGGAGGAACACCGGUGGCGAAGGCGGCCAACUGGGCUUUAACUGACGCUGAGGCUCGAAAGUGUGGGGAGCAAACAGGAUUAGAUACCCUGGUAGUCCACACUGUAAACGAU
rnacentral:rRNA from 1 species